GACGAACGCUGGCGGCGUGCUUAACACAUGCAAGUCGAACGGUAAGGCCCUUCGGGGUACACGAGUGGCGAACGGGUGAGUAACACGUGGGUGAUCUGCCCUGCACUUCGGGAUAAGCCUGGGAAACUGGGUCUAAUACCGGAUAGGGCUCCUGGCUUCAUGGUUGGGGGUGGAAAGCUUUUGCGGUGUGGGAUGGGACCGCGGCCUAUCAGCUUGUGGGUGGGGUAAUGGCCUACCAAGGCGACGACGGGUAGCCGGCCUGAGAGGGUGACCGGUCACACUGGGACAGAGAUACGGCCCAGACUCCUACGGGAGGCAGCAGUGGGGAAUAUUGCACAAUGGGCGCAAGCCUGAUGCAGCGACGCCGCGUGAGGGAUGACGGCCUUCGGGUUGUAAACCUCUUUCAGCUAUGACGAAGCGCAAGUGACGGUAGUAGCAGAAGAAGGACCGGCCAACGACGGGCCAGCAGCCGCCGUAACAC
rnacentral:rRNA from 1 species